rnacentral:rRNA from 1 species
UACGAAGGGGGCUAGCGUUGUUCGGAAUUACUGGGCGUAAAGCGCACGUAGGCGGAUUGUUAAGUCAGGGGUGAAAUCCUGGAGCUCAACUCCAGAACUGCCUUUGAUACUGAGGAUCUUGAGUUCGGGAGAGGUGAGUGGAACUGCGAGUGUAGAGGUGAAAUUCGUAGAUAUUCGCAAGAACACCAGUGGCGAAGGCGGCUCACUGGCCCGAUACUGACGCUGAGGCACGAAAGCGUGGGGAGCAAACAGG